CGGGCGGACGGGUGAGUAACGCGUGGGUAACCUGCCUCAGUACAGGGGGAUAACAGUUGGAAACGGCUGCUAAUACCGCAUAAGCGCACAGUACCGCAUGGUACCGUAGUGAAAAACUCCGGUGGUAUGAGAUGGACCCGCGUCUGAUUAGGUAGUUGGUGGGGUAACGGCCUACCAAGCCGACGAUCAGUAGCCGACCUGAGAGGGUGACCGGCCACAUUGGGACUGAGACACGGCCCAA
rnacentral:rRNA from 1 species